UACAGAGGUCUCAAGCGUUGUUCGGAAUCACUGGGCGUAAAGGGUGCGUAGGCGGCGGAGUAAGUCGGAUGUGAAAUUUGGAGGCUCAACCUCCAACUUGCAUCUGAUACUGCUUUCGCUAGAGACCUGGAGAGGAGUUUGGAAUUCUCGGUGUAGCAGUGAAAUGCGUAGAUUUCGAGAAGAACGCUCGCAGCGAAAAGCGAAAACUCUGGACAGCGUCUGACGCUGAGGCACGAAGGCUAGGGGAGCAAAAGCGGGAUUAAAAUACC
rnacentral:rRNA from 1 species